AGUUCGGACUGUAGUCUGCAACCCGACUACACGAAGCUGGAAUCGCUAGUAAUCGCGAAUCAGAAUGUCGCGGUGAAUACGUUCCCGGGUCUUGUACACACCGCCCGUCACACCACGGAAGUUGGGGGCGCCCGAAGCCACUUAGCUAACCCUUUUGGGAAGCGAGUGUCGAAGGUGAAAUCAAUAACUGGGGUGAAGUCGUAACAAGGUAAC
rnacentral:rRNA from 1 species